rnacentral:lncRNA from 1 species
UGGUGAGCCCCUGGCCUGGCCCUCCUGCCGUCCCUGCAGGGCCCUCCCGGCCCAGUCGUGGCCCUGAGGGGGACCCCGGGCCAGCGCACCCCGUGUCUGGGCUCCUUCACACCCCUCCUGCCCCACGCACCCUUGGUUGUGCUGCUGCUUGGAGCACAUGGCGAAUUCCCCCCAAAACGUGGGCAAAUUCCCCUGCUACUGGGGAAAAGGAGUUCAGUUUGCAGACGUGUAGCCAGGGGUCUUCACUGGAAGUGGCUGCUUGAGCAUCUGGGAGGAUCCGAUCUCCAAGCGCCAGCCACGGGCUGUCCAGGUGUUUGCAGCAAUGUGUCUCCUAGGAAAGGGAAGAGGGAGAGAGAAGUUCCUUGGACUGCAUGGCACCUCCAUAAAGCAGCACCUCCAUAAAACAUCACCUUCACUCGGAGCUGGGACCCGCAGACAACAUGAUCGCUCUCAUCUGCCUUGGCCCUGGUGUAGAAGUAAUUCUGAGGUUUGGGAAGAGGAAAGUCUGUGCUAACCUGACGCUGCAGCACCACAUGCUGGAACCUGUGCAGAGGAUCCUGCACUUGGAACUCAUCCUGAAAGAUUACAUCUGAAAACUACCUCCUGAGUCCCUGGACCGGGACGAUGCACAGAUCCCCUGGCCACGCCGCAGUGAUGGUCAAGCGGAGCAGUUUGGCCUCCCGCCUCCCGGCGCAGAAAGCGAAACCCUGUGGAGAAGUCA